rnacentral:rRNA from 1 species
UCGUAACAAGGUUUCCGUAGGUGAACCUGCGGAAGGAUCAUUACCUAGAGUUUGUAGACUUCGGUCUGCUACCUCUUACCCAUGUCUUUUGAGUACCUUCGUUUCCUCGGCGGGUCCGCCCGCCGAUCGGACAACAUUCAAACCCUUUGCAGUUGCAAUCAGCGUCUGAAAAAACAUAAUAGUUACAACUUUCAACAACGGAUCUCUUGGUUCUGGCAUCGAUGAAGAACGCAGCGAAAUGCGAUAAGUAGUGUGAAUUGCAGAAUUCAGUGAAUCAUCGAAUCUUUGAACGCACAUUGCGCCCCUUGGUAUUCCAUGGGGCAUGCCUGUUCGAGCGUCAUUUGUACCUUCAAGCUCUGCUUGGUGUUGGGUGUUUGUCUCGCCUCUGCGUGUAGACUCGCCUUAAAACAAUUGGCAGCCGGCGUAUUGAUUUCGGAGCGCAGUACAUCUCGCGCUUUGCACUCAUAACGACGACGUCCAAAAGUACAUUUUUACACUCUUGACCUCGGAUCAGGUAGGGAUACCCGCUGAACUUAAGCAUAUCA